rnacentral:rRNA from 1 species
UUAUACCGGGCUGAAUCAUUUCUUUUAUUGGGAAGGGAUCAAGAGUGAUGUCAAGGGACUUAUGGCCGGGUGUGAUAUCUAUCAAAAGUCCAAGUAUGACUCAAGGCCAGCAGCGGGACAUCUCCAUCCAUUGCAAAUUCCAAAUAGAAUUUGGGAGGACUUGGCAAUGGACUUUAUAGACUACCCAUUAGUGGAGGACAUGAAGUGAUUUUGGUGGUAGUAGACCAUCUAAGCAAGUAUGCCCACUUCAUCCCUCUACAUCACCCUUACAUAGCCAAGUUGGUGGCCAAAGCCUAUAUCAAUAACAUUGCCAAGCUGCAUGGGUUUCCAAGGACAAUAGUGUCAGAUCGGGACAGAGUCUUUAUGAGUUCAUUUUGGAAGCAGCUCUUUGAAUUGCAAGGCAGCAAACUCAAGACGAGUUCCUCCCAUCACCCAUAAAUGGAUGGUCAAUCCGAAGUGAUCAAUAGGACAUUGGAACAAUAUUUAAGUUGCUUCUGUCUUAAAGAGCAAAGGAGAUGUGCAGAUUAUCUCCGAUGGGCUGUAUUCUGGUAUAACACCACUUACCAGUCCUCCAUUGACAAAAGCCCUUUUGAAGGGGUAUAUGACAGGCCACCACCACUCUUGGUCAGCUAUGAGAAGGGCUCAACUAGGAACGAUAAAGUGGAGCAGUUGUUGAUCAAUAGGGAUGAAGUACUUGUCAAAGUUUAAAAGAGAGCUCAAGAAGGCCCAAAGUCAAAUGAAGAAGUACCAUGAUCAAGGAAGGCAUGCCAUGACCUUCCAGGCAGGCGACUAUGUUUACUUGAAGCUUAGGCAAUUCGGGCAAAAGUCCAUGUGGAAGAUCUCAAGUGCAAAGCUAAACCAGAUGUUUUAUGGGCCAUAUAGAGUGUUGGUGAAACUCGGCAGUGUGGCAUACAAGCUUCAGCUUCCACCAACUUUGCAGUUGGGUAUUCCAACCCAGCGACACACCAACAGUGCCCAGCCCACACAACCUGGGCCAGACAUGCAGGGACCAAGGACAAGCCAGGCCAGUAGGCCAACCUGAAGACCCACACACACCAACAAGCAGCCCAUGCCUUGGUGUGGUGGACCGAUGCAGAUUGCGGUGGCAGCCCAAGCUUGAGUUGUAGUCUUGCCCGUGGAGACAUCGUUGCUGCUAUCGUGGUGGGCAGCAUGCUCCACAAGGCUUGCUUCAGCAUCUGCGUGCUCUUGGCAUCGGCUUGUGGGCACCCCAUUCGACCCGUCUUGAAACACAAACCAAGGAGUCUAACAUGUGUGUGAUUCAGUAGGCUAGUAAACGUUAGGGAGUCAACGAGCUAGUAAAGGAGUUUGACAUGUGUGCGAGUCAACGGGCUAGUCAACGUUAGGAGUCUGGAGACGUUGGCGGGGGCCACGUGAAGAGUUAUCUUUUCUGUUUAAUAACCUACCCACCCUAGAAAUGGCUCAACUGGAGGUAGGGUCCAGUAGCUGGAAGAGCACCGCAUUUCACGUGGUGUCUGGUGCGCCCUCGGUGGCCCUUGAAAAUCCGAAGGACCGAGUGCCAUCCACGCCCGGUUGUACUCAUAAUCGCAUCAGGUCUCCAAGGUGAACAACCUUUGGUCGAUGGAACAUUGUAGGCAAGGGAAGUCGACAAAAUAGAUCUGUAACCUCGGAAAAAGGAUUGGCUUUGAGGGCUGAGCACGGGGGUCCCAGUCCCGAACCUGUCGGCUAUCGGUGGACUGCUCGAGCUGCUUUUGCGGCGAGAGCGGGUCACUGCAUGCCGGCCUGGGGAUGGACUGGGAACGAUCGCUUAGGCAGUCUUCCCCUAGCGUUGAACAAUCAACUCAAAACUAGUACGGACAGUGGGAAUCUGAUUGUUUAAUUAAAACAAAACAUUGUGAUGGUCCCUGCGGAUGCUCACGCAAUGUGAUUUCUGCCUAGCAGUCUGAAUGUCAAAGUGAAGAAAUUCAACCAAGCGCGGGUAAACGGCGGGAGUACUUAUGACUCUUUUAAGGUAGCCAAAUGCCUUUUCAUCUAAUUAGUGAUGCAAAUGUAUUGAUUAACGAGAUUCUGACUGUCCCUGUCUAUUAUCCAGCCAAACCACAUCCAAGGGAACGAGCUUGGCAAAAUCAGCUAGGAAAGAAGACCCUGUUGAGCCUGACUCUAGUUCGACUUUGUGAAAUGACUUGAGAGGUGUAGGAUAAGUGGGAGUCGAAAGGCGAAAGUGAAAUACCACUAUUUUUAACGUUAUUUUACUUAUUCCAUUAAUCGGAGGCGUGGCAUUGCCCCUCUUUUUGGACCCAAGGCUCAUUUUGCCGUGCUGAUUCGGGCGGAAGACACUGUCAGGUAGAGAGUUUGACUAGGCUAGCACAUCUAUUAAAAAAUAAUGCAUGUGUCCUACGAUGAGCUCAAUGAGAACAUAAAUCACGUGUGGAACAAAAGGGUAAAAGCUCGUUUCAUUCUGACUCCUAGUACAAAUACAAACUGUGAAAGCAUGGCCUAUCGAUCCUUUAGACCUUCAGAAUUUGAAGCCAGAGGUGUCAGAAAAGUUAACACAGGGAUAACUUGCUUGUGGCAACCAAGUGUUCAUAGUGUCAUUGCUUUUUGAUCCUUCGAUGUCGGCUCUUCCUAUCAUUGUGAAGCAGAAUUCACCAAGUGUUGGAUUGUUCACCCACCAAUAGGGAACGUGAGGUGGGUUUAGACCAUCAUAAGACAGGUUAGUUUUACCUCUACUGAAGACAGUGUUGCAAUAGUAAUUCAACCUAGUACGAGAGGAACUGUUGAUUCGCACAAUUAGUCAUCGUGCUUGGUUGAAAAGCCAGUGGCGCGAAGCUACCAGUCGCCCGAUUGCUGACCUGUCGUUGGUGUAGCCCUCGCGGUGGAUGAGCCGUGCCUCCUUGAGGUACAAUUCUCAUCUAGCAGCGGGUAGGAUCCUUUGUGGACGACUUAAAUAUGCAAUGGGGUAUUGUAAGUGGUGUAGUGGCCUUACUGCCAUUUCUUGCCAGCUAGUAAUACUUCCCGGUUGUAGAGAUU